rnacentral:rRNA from 1 species
CGUAGGUGGCAAGCGUUGUCCGGAUUUAUUGGGUUUAAAGGGUGCGUAGGCGGUGAUUUAAGUCAGUGGUGAAAUACUUCAGCUUAACUGGAGAGGUGCCAUUGAUACUGGGUCACUUGAGUACUGAUGAGGUAGGCGGAAUGGACGGUGCAGCGGUGAAAUGCUUAGAUAUCGUCCAGAACACCGAUAGCGAAGGCAGCUUACUAAGGAGUAACUGACGCUGAGGCACGAAAGUGUGGGGAUCAAACAGGAUUAGAUACCCUGGUAGUCCACACUGUAAACGAUGAUCACUCGAUGUUGGCGAUACACAGCCAGCGUCUUAGCAAAAGCGAUAAGUGAUCCACCUGGGGAGUACGCCGGCAACGGUG